UCCCUCGUGGUCCAGGGGCUGAGACUCAGGGCCCAGUGUCAAUUCCCGGUGGGGGAGCUAGAUCCCAAAUGCUGCAACUAAGACUUCGCAUGCCGAGACUAAAGACUCCACAUGCUGUAACUAGAAGAACUAGCACCCUUGUGCUGCAACAAAGAUUCCACGUACGGUAACCAGACCUGGUGCAGCCAAACUGAUUGAUUUAAUGCAAGAAAUUUUAAAAAGAAAACCAGAGAGAAGUCACUGUGGCAUUGGAAGACACGGCUCAUCUAUGCAGCCCUAGAAGCUGCCCAGAACCUCCACACUAGCUCUGCUCAGCUUCACAGGACAGUAAACUUUCCCACCAGCACUGGACGUGCCCAUUGUUCACUUGGGUGCCCUAGGAUUCAGUUAAACACAAUGUAAAUGUCUAAAACCAGGAUGCGCGUUAAAAUCGCUGUUCUAUAAGACAUGGACCUGGCUUUUGAGAGGAGUUCAAACACCCACUAGAAGAAGCCUCUGGUGGGACAAGUGUCUGAAAAAGGAAGCGGCUGACUCAGGAAGGCGGUGGCUCUCUGUCUUCUGUUGAGAGAACUCGCGCGGUCGGCUGCACUUCUGAACCCUCUGGAAUUUGGCUUUUAACAGAAUUGCCUCGACCUUGGAAGUGUUUGUUACUUUUCAACUGAGGAAUUCGAGUUGCAUCGCUGUCUGUAAUACUGUCAUGGGCCAGAGCACAAAUGUUUUG
ensembl:lncRNA